rnacentral:rRNA from 1 species
GCCCCAUGGGGCGCAGCAGGCGAGAAAACUUUGCAAUGUGCGAAAGCACGACAAGGUUAAUCCGAGUGGUUUCUGCUAAAGAAACCUUUUGUCAGUCCUAGAAACACUGAUGAAUAAGGGGUGGGCAAGUUCUGGUGUCAGCCGCCGCGGUAAAACCAGCACCUCAAGUGGUCAGGAUGAUUAUUGGGCCUAAAGCAUCCGUAGCCGGCUCUGUAAGUUUUCGGUUAAAUCUGUACGCUCAACGUACAGGCUGCCGGGAAUACUGCAGAGCUAGGGAGUGGGAGAGGUAGACGGUACUCGGUAGGAAGGGGUAAAAUCCUUUGAUCUAUUGAUGACCACCUGUGGCGAAGGCGGUCUACCAGAACACGUCCGACGGUGAGGGAUGAAAGCUGGGGGAGCAAACCGGAUUAGAUACCCGGGUAGUCCCAGCUGUAAACUAUGCAAACUCAGUGAUGCAUUGGCGUGUGGCCAAUGCAGUGCUGCAGGGAAGCCGUUAAGUU